CGGGGGAGGCCGGAUCCUGGGCUGUGUCCCGGCGCCCUGUGCUCCGGGCCUGCGCUGUUGGAUUCGCGCUCCCGGGCCGCGCAACCCCCU
rfam:Canis lupus familiaris chromosome 3, whole genome shotgun sequence.